UACGAAGGGGGCUAGCGUUGUUCGGAAUUACUGGGCGUAAAGCGCACGUAGGCGGAUAUUUAAGUUAGGGGUGAAAUCCCAGGGCUCAACCCUGGAACUGCCUUUAAUACUGGGUAUCUCGAGUCCGAGAGAGGUGAGUGGAAUUCCGAGUGUAGAGGUGAAAUUCGUGGAUAUUCGGAGGAACACCAGUGGCGAAGGCGGCUCACUGGCUCGGUACUGACGCUGAGGUGCGAAAGCGUGGGGAGCAAACAGG
rnacentral:rRNA from 1 species